rnacentral:rRNA from 1 species
AUUGAACGCUGGCGGCAGGCCUAACACAUGCAAGUCGAGCGAGCGGCGGACGGGUGAGUCAUGUUUGGGUACUGCCCGAUAGCGGGGGAUAACUACUGGAAACGGUAGCUCAUACCGCAUACUGUCGGGUUACCAAUCUGGGAUUAGCUAGUAGGUAAGGUAAUGGCUUACCUAGGCGACGAUCCCUAGCUGGUCUGAGAGGAUGAUCAGCCACACUGGGACUGAGACACGGCCCAGACUCCUACGGAGGCAGCAGUGGGGAAUAUUGCACAAUGGGCGCAAGCCUGAUGCAGCCAUGCCGCGUGUAUGAAGAAGGCCCUAGGGUUGUAAAGUACUGUCAGUCGGGAGGCGUUACCGACAGAAGAAGCACCGGCUAACUCCGUGCCAGCAGCCGCGGUAAUUC